GGCCAGACUCCUACGGGAGGCAGCAGUGGGGAAUAUUGCGCAAUGGGCGAAAGCCUGACGCAGCGACGCCGCGUGAGGGAUGAAGGUCUUCGGAUCGUAAACCUCUGUCAGCAGGGAAGAACGGUCACUGUGCUAAUCAGCAGUGAAUUGACGGUACCUGCAAAGGAAGCACCGGCUAACUCCGUGCCAGCAGCCGCGGUAAUACGGGGGGUGCAAGCGUUGUCCGGAAUCAUUGGGCGUAAAGCGUUCGUAGGCGGUAUGUCAAGUCUGAUGUUAAAGCCCGGGGCUCAACUCCGGUUCGGCAUUGGAUACUGGCAAACUAGAAUGUGGUAGAGGUAAAGGGAAUUCCUGGUGUAGCGGUGAAAUGCGUAGAUAUCAGGAGGAACAUCGGUGGCGAAAGCGCUUUACUGGACCAUUAUUGACGCUGAGGAACGAAAGCCAGGGGAGCAAAUGGGAUUAGAUACCCUCGUAAU
rnacentral:rRNA from 1 species